UGUAAGCGUAUACCAAAGUUGUUGCAGUUAAAACGCUCGUAGUCGGAUUUUGGCGGUUCCGGAAGUGUGCCGCGUCGUGCGGCCGCUUUGCAGGGACUGCUUUUGUGUGUUCGCGUCGGAUGAGGCACGUUUAUUCGUGAACGUCCGCACGCUGCCACUUUUUACUGUGAGAAAAUCAGAGUGCUCAAAGCAGGCAUUUGCCGUGAAUGUAUUAGCAUGGAAUAAUAGAAUAGGACUCGGUUCUAUUUUGUUGGUUUGUUGGGACUGAGUAAUGAUUAAGAGGGACAGUUGGGGGCAUUUGUAUUUCGGCGCUAGAGGUGAAAUUCUUAGAUUGCCGAAAGACAAACUGCUGCGAAAGCGUCUGCCAAGGAUGUUUUCAUUGA
rnacentral:rRNA from 1 species